rnacentral:rRNA from 1 species
UACGGGGGGGGCAAGCGUUGUUCGGAAUUACUGGGCGUAAAGGGCGCGUAGGCGGCCUUCUAAGUCGGACGUGAAAUCCCUCGGCUUAACCGAGGAACUGCCUGUCAGACUGGAAGGCUUGAGACCGGGAGAGGUGAGUGGAAUUCCCAGUGUAGCGGUGAAAUGCGUAGAUAUUGGGAGGAACACCAGUGGCGAAGGCGGCUCACUGGACCGGAACUGACGCUGAGGCGCGAAAGCGUGGGGAGCAAACAGG